GAAACGCACACCUCCCUGCAGGGGCACACCCGGGUCAUCAGCGAUCUGGACUGGUCCUGGUUUGAACCCGAGUUCCUGGUCACCAGCUCCGUGGACACCUACAUCUACAUCUGGGACACCAGAGACACUCGGAAACCCACGCUGGCGCUGUCCGCGGUCGCAAACCUGAGACGUCCAGAUGGCUGAGUGUCUUUGAAUGCAC